UAGUCUGUACAAAAUGCCCUGCUAUUGUCACGAGCCACGGUAUAUAAAAGCAGAGGUAGGGGAUACCUGGGCAUUCAUUCAUCCACAAUGAAGGCAGCGUUUCUGAUUCUCCUCGUCUCUGCCCUGCUCAUUGGGUCAGCAUUUGUCGCUGAUGCGCAAUGCAAUGGGAUUUGCACCCGCGACAGUGACUGCAAUCACUGCACCGGUUGUGCCAAUGGAGGCGAAUGUGUCCGCCGCGCUUCCGAGGCUUCAGGGAACUGUUCGUGCCGCUAAUGUUGUACCCAAGAAAGGGAUGCUGAAAAAGCUGUCACUUUGUAAUGAAGUGUAAUAAAUUAAUGAAAGAUAA